GGCGCGAGCAGGUGCGAAAGCAGGUCAUAGUGAUCCGGUGGUUCUGAAUGGAAGGGCCAUCGCUCAACGGAUAAAAGGUACUCCGGGGAUAACAGGCUGAUACCGCCCAAGAGUUCAUAUCGACGGCGGUGUUUGGCACCUCGAUGUCGGCUCAUCACAUCCUGGGGCUGAAGUAGGUCCCAAGGGUAUGGCUGUUCGCCAUUUAAAGUGGUACGCGAGCUGGGUUUAGAACGUCGUGAGACAGUUCGGUCCCUAUCUGCCGUGGGCGCUGGAGAACUGAGGGGGGCUGCUCCUAGUACGAGAGGACCGGAGUGGACGCAUCACUGGUGUUCGGGUUGUCAUGCCAAUGGCACUGCCCGGUAGCUAAAUGCGGAAGAGAUAAGUGCUGAAAGCAUCUAAGCACGAAACUUGCCCCGAGAUGAGUUCUCCCUGAGACUUAGAGUCUCCUGAAGGAACGUUGAAGACGACGACGUUGAUAGGCCGGGUGUGUAAGCGCAGCGAUGCGUUGAGCUAACCGGUACUAAUGAACCGUGAGGCUUAACCUUACAAC
rnacentral:rRNA from 1 species